AGACGUCUACAUUAGACUACCCCUGUACGUCCCAGCCGUAAACUAUGCGCGUUAGGUGUAUCGGUGACCACGAGUCACCGAGGUGCCGAAGGGAAACCGUGAAACGUGCCGCCGUGGGAAGUACGGUCGCAAGGCUAGAAACUUAAAGGAAUUGGCGGGGAGCACCACAACGGGUGGAGCCUGCGGUUUAAUUGGACUCAACGCCGGGAAGCUCACCGGAUAGGGCAGCAGAAUGAUUGCCGGGCUGAAGACCCUGCAUGACUAGCUG
rnacentral:rRNA from 1 species